UUUGGUUUUUGGUCAUCGUGUUAUCUCCUCAAUCACUAAAUCACUAAGCUCAAAUCGCUUGGGAAUCGAUUGAGGCCAACGAUUUCGUGCUGGUUCCCCGAUUUUGAGCGAUCUCUUCUGGUCGUAGUUGGGGGCUCUCGGCUCUCGGUGUCCGCGACGCCGCCGCAACAGCAGCCGAAACAGCCAGAAGGCCAACACGGAGCCCCGCCGCCUCCCCGUCCUCUGCUCCGCCUCCAUUUCCGCCACCGCACGCCGCCUCUCCGUCCUCUGCUCCGCCUCCCGUAUUUCUCCCCACAUCCCCUCCGCCUCCCGUCCCAGUGCCCCAGCCGCCUUUCCAUCUCCAAUCCCCGGCCAUUUUCCGAGUAGGUAAGGACUGGGCAGAGGUGGCGCCGGUGGAAGGACAGGAAGGUCGAAACGGAGAGAGAGGCGCAGAUGAUGGUGGCAGCCUCGCAAUGGGUCGUCUUCCUCUAGCCUCCUUCGUCCCCUCAAGAUCCAUCCCGGGCUGACGCAGCCAAGAUCCCCUCAAGACCCCCGUUCGAUUUCUCCAAGUCUGUCCGCUCGCCCACCGCCGCCUCAUCGGUCAAAUUAUUGCCUCUUUCCCCUUUAUCCGCGUCUGGUGAGUCCGUCAAAUCAUUGCCUCUUUCCCCUCUAUCCGCGUCUGGUGUUGCUGUUCUGUGCUGCGUGUGGGUCGCGCUCUGCUCUGUGUGGUUUACUUGCAUCCGCUGCCAUGUGAGAGAUUGAGAGGUGAGAGAGGCCACGGCUGGGAUGGGGAUCACUAAUUAGUCGCCAAUAUGAGUUGUAUGUUGUCGCUGCUCUGAUCUGUGUUGCUGCUUGGGUGAAGAAAAAAGGGGAUAGUGUUUCUGCCUGGACCUCGAGAUAAUGAUGUUGCUGCUGUAGAAAGAUUGUUGUUGCUUAUAUAGAACAAAGUAUGCGGCUGCUUCUUAUUAGAUUUUUUUUUCCUUUUGCAGUUAUUAAUGCACUGGAUUUUGUUGUUGUUGCUUAUGUGUAGUUAUUGUGACUGUGUUUCUAUGGAUUGUUGUGAUGGGUUAAUCUUUUGCAUGUAAGGCAAACACAAUAGAACCUGGCAUUGCUGAAUCUAUCCAUUACAUUUUCUUAGAUAUUUUGCUCAUUAUUUAUGCUUUUGUUUACAGAUUCAGAUCAAAUGUAUGAAUCAGCAACCACUGAACAUCAUGUAAGAAUCAACACAUUACAGAAUGCAAAUGUACAGAUUAGUCCGUGUGUUCUUUCAAAAAAAUUAAUGCUGGCUUUAGUUGCUCUGUACAAGUCUAAUGAUGAACUCAGUGUCCUUGAUUUUGAAAGAUACUUGGAAAGUGUUUUUUUACGGCAACACUUUGAUUGUUAACAAUUUAUCCAGAUAAUGGAUACAAGUAGUCACUUGGUUAACCAGCUUCAACUACCUGGCUCAAAAGAUAUAUGGGGCAUGCUGAUUGCAAGCUGAAACAUUGCUUGUGUCCAAGCUCUCAACUCUACAAGCAUGCAUGUCCUCCAUGAUUGUUACCCUUGUGUACUCAUGCUUGCUGGCUGGAAACUUCUACAUGCACAAGAAGAAAGAAAAUAAGUCAAAGCACGAAUAAAGGACUGCCAGGGAUGCCCAGCUGUAAGUACCAUGCACACACGUAUGUGACAAUGUUUUUUCCAGUUCUUAUCACUGAAUUUUGCUGUAUGAUGGUUCUUAAAUGAAACAUGAACAUCUUAUCCCUGACAGUUAAAGCUGGCACCUUGAUUAUAUCAUGAAGUUUUUAUAAUUAUUCUAUAUAACCUGUGUGGCGCGGCGCCUGGUUUGACAGAAACUGAUGGAGAUGGGGUCUUUUUGCAGAACCAUUGGAACCGUGAUCUAAGAAUUUUUAAAUGCGGUGCGAUGGGGCUUACCAUUUCCUUCAAGUACACAUUAAUAUUGUGUCACAUGAUUUAUAGCCUGAUUAACCCUACAACUUUUGUAGUACAAAUUAAUUCUCCUGAAUAUGCUUUCCGUACAUUUUGAAACCAUUCUUUCUUAUUGUUGUUCAAAUGGCAGUUAGUAGGUUAACAUGAUUGGCUCUAGAGUCUGCCUUACCAGACUCUUUUUUAGGCAGUCUAUGAUGUCAUUUGACACAAUCUAAUACCAUGGUUAAGAAAAGAGCCCCCCUUACACAAGAUACAAACAACUAUGUCAUAACUCAUAACCAUCCACUGAAUGUUAGUUAUAUUUUUCCAGUCCAAAAUAUUGAUGUAAAUACUGAUGUUAGCAUGUAAAGCAUCAGGAUGCAACUACAUUCAAAUAUUCAGGCCAUUUUCAGUUAUAACCAUUUCAGGAUGCAACUACAUUCAAAUAUUCAGGAGGCAACUACAUUCAAAUAUUUAGGGCCUGUUCGGAGUCUCACCACUCCAGAACUCCACUCCCGGAGCGGGGGUAGCUUCAGCUGAAGAUAAAGGAGCGGGGAAACGCCCACUCCGCAGAUCCUUGUAUUUUUUGGAGCCGGCGGACUACCGAACAGGGCCUUACUUUGUAUGUUAAUUUAUUAUAAGUGAGUGUAUUUUGGUAUUUCCUUUGGUUGAUAAUUUGAUCGGGUUAUGGCUGAUUCUUGCAUGUCCAGAUUUUUUUACUGUUGGCUUAAGGAUAUAUAUGGUUUGCAACCGAUGGAUUUCGGGCUGGAGCUUUGAGGAGCCAGUCAUACUAUUAUUUCUCCUCAAAUAUAGUGAAUUUGUUCGCUUAUAAGGUUGCAUGUUCAAGACAUUUCUCUUUUAAUCUCUCAUAGUGGCAUUGUAUACAAAUAUUAAGAGAAGUUGGAAAUUGCCAUGCCAAAGUCCCUAAUUUCAGUUUAUAAUAUUUACUUUAUCAUAUCUUGCUCAGUUGUUAACCAAAUCUAUGUGCUUUUAUGUUAACGUUCUGUAUAUAUAUAGACAAUAGACCUUCCGAUCCAAAAUAAGCGUCAGUUUUGAAUUCCAGGCUCGCAAUACAAUGAAUAGGACUUGACUUGCAUCUCUCUGUGCACAAUGGCGUAGCCUGAUAAAUCUGUCUCACUGCACACUCUUCACAAGGAAGACGGCAAAGUUUACUACCGGGCACCUUAGGGAUUUCUAGUAUUUUGACAUUCAAGUAUCACCGAUAGUUGCAGUGGUCUAUUGAUAUUCUUAUGUUCUGUUGAAUGUUUAAAUGCUAGAAAGUAAAUAGGAUAUCUACUGUUUCAUUUUGGUGAUUUACUUACAACUGCAUGUUGAUGUGGCUCACCUGAGCUAACUCAACAUGUGCAGCCGUGCAUGUUGGGCCCUGUGAUAUCGUGAUGGCUGCAAUCAAUUUGUCCUGUGUACAUGUUGAUUUUGUUUGAAAUUAGUUUACAUUGAUGGAGCACCGCGCAAGCUGCUAAUAAUUGUAUUUCAAACGGUCAGCUCCCCGGCACGGUGAAGUGCGCACCUUCCUGUAGCAUAUUAGUAAAAGAGGUGGAUGGUGGUGAUGAUUUUAUUCUUAGAGACUUUCCUUUGGCAAUUUUUUUAGUUCAGACUCCAUUUAUGUUUGCUUGACACAGUUUCAUUGAUUGGAUGGCGUAUAAAAAUAUACUCCCUCUGUAAAGAAAUAUAAGAGCGUUUAGAUCAUUAAAAUAGUAAUCUAAAUGCUCUUAUAUUUUUUUACGGAGGAAGUAUCAAUUUAUGGAUUGAUUACUGUAUGGAAUGAGACGGUUGAUUUGAAGCUUCAGUCUGUCUUGCCUGGAUUGUUUUCGCUGAAUCCAGUUAUAUUACGAUAUACUCCCUCCGUCCCAUAAUGCAAGACGUUUUUUAUAAAAAAACGACUUACAUUAUGGGACGGAGGGAGUAUAUUGGUGUACUGACUAAUUUUUUUGUUGCAUGACCUUCUUCCUGUAAACUUUGAAUAUUGGAAGCAAACCAAACACUAGCCAAUCUAUGUGGACAAAUGUAUUGGUCAAAUGAAAGUCUGCGGUUUUGUUCAAAAUAUUGGCAAGUACUAGGUUAUGAUCCAAACAACCAAAGCUUCCCAAUAUUUUGGCCAUGCUGAAGUUUUUUCUUUUGACAGGGAAAAUGGAAAUUCCAUUAAACUUUUCGUACUGGCUAACAGUUCUAUGAUGCAGUUGGGGGCGGUGGUCUCUCAGGAGGAGUCACGAGACUCAGAAUGAACGCCCAGCUUGGCAAGUUCAUGUGCUACAGAGUUACAAGUCAUGCCAUAAUUUUGGUUAGGGCUUGUUGCAGCUCAAUCUAAACACACAUCUAUUAUGUUCAGUGGUAUGGUUGUCUAAGUUGUACUUUUGGUUUUGGCGUGAUAGCUUUGUUCUUUGUGUCAUUUUAUUUGUCGACGUGAGAUCUUUUAUGCAUGUCGGUUGUACGGUUGGUAGUGGGGUCGUGUGAUUUUGAUGUGUGUUGUUUUUAGGGUUAGCGGUGGGUUCUUAAGUUGAUGGCCUACGAACUUGAGCAUCGUGACCAUGACGCUGGAAGGAAAUGCCAGUAUGAGAAGCGGUUGUACGGUUGGUGGUGGGGUCGUGUGAUUUUGAUGUGUGUUGUUUUUAGGGUUAUGGUGGGUUCUUAAGUUGACGGCCCACGAACUUGAGCACCAUGACCAUGACGCCUGAAGGAAAUGCUGGCAUGAGAAGUGGCGGCAAAGUGCGCAACUGCUUCGACAGAAGCAGAUUUUUGGCAAAUAAAGAAAACCAUCGCCUGCCUCCAAAUUUGUGUAUACAUCUACUGAAACAAACAAAUGUACACCAGUACAUAUUAUAAAGACAAAAGACUAGAAGUUGCUCAUGCAUGACGCAGUACAUUUCAGCAAAAUCAGCACAAGUAAGUGUGAGUGCCACUCGACCUUAUUCCUUGAGCUGCGGGUUGCACUUGCACACUAUAUCAUGGUGGGCGUGCGUUGCUGUAUCCGUCUAUUUUUCAAGUAAAAUGAUAGUAAUUUCUACAAAUAUAUAUACAUGGAAGAACUGAAUUCCUAUUUCCAGUGAAAAACUUCUGAACCAUCAUGUAGGCAAACCAAAUACUCAUGUAGGCAGACCAAA